AUAAAAUGCGAUAUUUAUUUGAUAGUCUAAAGAAAGUUGUCCAUUGGGUACUCAUAAUUUUAACCAAUAUAUAUUUAGUUCCCGGGAAUGAUGAAAAGUUUUUCGAGGGGAAGUACCCAAGAGGCACUGAUUUGUAGCGAAAUAGGAGUAUUACACAGACACUGAACUGUAUGGACAUGUAUACUUUAUUCUGGUGAAGUCAUGGAAAAAGUCAUGGUAAUACAAAUACAUUCUUAUAUUAGAAAUUAGUCGAUUAAGAAAUUUGAUUCAAGAAAAGAAAUGGCUCGAUCGAGACACCUAGUAACUUAUAUAAUAUAGGUGUGUUUUAGUAUUCGUUAAAUAAUAUAUUAAAUUAGGAUUAUUACUUAUUCUAUACCGCUUUCAGAUAAGUAUCUAUAAGUAUAAUAUAUAACUUUGAUUUUUGUUUUUUUAGAUUUGGAUUCCGUAUGUGAAGAUUACGGAUUCGAGAAUAAUAUAUAAUAUUUUAUUUUUCCUACACCAUUAUG